rnacentral:rRNA from 1 species
AACAAGGUCUCCGUAGGUGAACCUGCGGAGGGAUCAUUACACAAAUAUGAAGGCGGGCUGGAACCUCUCGGGGUUACAGCCUUGCUGAAUUAUUCACCCUUGUCUUUUGCGUACUUCUUGUUUCCUUGGUGGGUUCGCCCACCACUAGGACAAACAUAAACCUUUUGUAAUUGCAAUCAGCGUCAGUAACAAAUUAAUAAUUACAACUUUCAACAACGGAUCUCUUGGUUCUGGCAUCGAUGAAGAACGCAGCGAAAUGCGAUAAGUAGUGUGAAUUGCAGAAUUCAGUGAAUCAUCGAAUCUUUGAACGCACAUUGCGCCCUUUGGUAUUCCAAAGGGCAUGCCUGUUCGAGCGUCAUUUGUACCCUCAAGCUUUGCUUGGUGUUGGGCGUCUUGUCUCUAGCUUUGCUGGAGACUCGCCUUAAAGUAAUUGGCAGCCGGCCUACUGGUUUCGGAGCGCAGCACAAGUCGCACUCUCUAUCAGCAAAGGUCUAGCAUCCAUUAAGCCUUUUUUUCAACUUUUGACCUCGGAUCAGGUAGGGAUACCCGCUGAACUUAAGCAUAUC